rnacentral:tRNA from 1 species
GGCUAGGUAGCUCAGUUGGUCAGAGCGCCGCCCUCAUAAGGCGGAGGGCGAUGGUUCGAGUCCAUCCCUUGCCA